UUUACAAAUUAGUAAUGUCACCGGCAAAAAUGUUUUUUUGACAAACCAAAAUACUGAAAUUCUACAUACCUUGCGCAAAAGAGGUUACACAAAGAUAGAAAAACCUAAUCUAAAAUAUAACUUAACAAGUCGAAGUACAUAAUUUAUUUUCUCUUAUUGUUGAGCGUACCGUCCUAAACUUUAAUCCUAUUGUAUUUUAACAGCUCACAAAAUGUAGCCAAUACUGGGGAUGAGAAUAUGUAUAUUUUGUUUAGAUAUUGCUUUGUUAGUUAUGUCCGGACAACAAAGCACUGGCGGCACUUCUUGCAGGAUGGCAAAAACGCCGCCGAAUGCGGGUAAACAAGGUCCCUUAAAAGCUACUAUACCAAUCAGCAGUGUAAUAAAGCAUCCUAACAAUGUUGGAAAUGAAACAAGUCCUGUUAGGGGAACCUCAAUAUCUCCCUUGUUCUCCUGGAGAAAUAGGACUUCACCAGAGCAUGCAUCUGGCCAACGAAGCCCUGGGUCAUCUUGCAAUAAAGUGAAAUCAAAAUACAGUGGGGUUCCAUCAGAUGUAAUGAGAAGAACAGCAUCUUUGGAUACAAUUUAUUUAAAAGGACACUGGCCAAAGGACCAGUUGUAUUGGGGAAAUAUGGGAAUAUUGCAUAUUGAUAAAGCAACACAGACAGAAGAAUCUGAUUGGACUGAUAUAAAAAAAUUCCAGUGUAUAUUAGAAACAGAGGAUAAGAAUGUUUUAAGACCAAAAAUUAGAGGAAAUACUGCAGCUGGAAGACAUAUGUCUCCCGGAGAACAUACUUUGAAUAGUAGCUCUCAAACAUUAGCAUCUUGCAUUUUUACACCAAAUCUAAAAAUUGUCCAGUCGGGCUCUGUAAAACCUAUCCCAAAGUCUUCAAUGAGAAGUUCUGUUGAAAGUUUAAAUCAAGAGAUAGAGAGGAUAGUACUUAGAACCGGCAGUGAAGGAUUGCCCAGUGAUAGAUAUGAAUUUCGUCAAGCUACGCCAGAAGGCCAUAGAGCUCCAUUGGCGGAAAUGUUGAGAUUCAGCAGAUCGCGAUCUGUAAACACGCAGACUCCUCAAGAAUUUAGUCAUUCUUCUGGUGAUAGCCAUGGAUCUAGCCCAGACAAUGAAGGCAACAAGCUGGGCACUUCGCCACAGAUAAACCGGUUUUUGGCUCGUGAGCCACCAGAUGGCUGUGAAAAGUACCUUCAAGCUAAGGCCCAGUUUAGGCUCAGCUUUUAAAAUUCUACAACCCGCUUUAAGUCCAAGCGAAGAACAAGCCGAACCACUACCUCAAAGUGAACCUGGAAGACAUUUAGGAAUAGAGAAAUAGGAAGAGAAUUUAGGACAUUUAUUGCCACAACAAAGAACUGGCAUGUAUUGCACAUUACAACGAUGCUCCUUAGUUUCUACGCCUAUUUGUAUACUACUCGGAGCCACCUGGUGUAUAUAUAGUAAAUAUUAUCUUAAAGCGGGGAGGCUGGAAAAAGAAAAGUUUCCUAUCGAGCUAUGGAUCGUCUUGUAGCGGAAAUUCAGUACGACAUUAGUUAAGUAAGCGGCUGACUUUGAUGAAGAUAACGUAUUACUUGCAAUGAAAAUUCGCAAAACUUCGUUUCUAAAAUAUUUUUCGAUGCAGGCUUUAAUAUGUAUGUAAGUGUACAAACCGCCUAUUAUGCUGCGUAUUGUAUAAUGAAAAUUAACGGGUUAUUCUAAUAACAAUAAAAUAUAAACUCUGAUAAAAGUAGAAAAAUGUAAAUACUAUACAAAAGUAAAAUUAAAACUCAAUAAACUUAAGAAAAAUUAAUUAUUUAAAUAAAAGGCUUAAACAAUAAGUACCAUAAGCGCAACAUGGCAAAAGAAGCUGUUUUCUGCAGCAUCCUCCGAAAAGGUGAAGCCUAAACUGCUUAUUUUUUCAAAAGGGAUGACGCCAAUUAUAGCACCUUGUGGGAAAGCUCUUUUUAAAAGAAAGUUGACAGUCUACUGUUCUUUUUGAAACAAAUUAACUUUUAAUUUUAAAUUGAAUAAAAAUGUUUAGAGGUGAAAAUUAAAAACAAAAUAUCCCGAUUUAAAAUGCGUAUUUUGAUUCUAAAAUCGCUAAACAAUUACCCGAGUCCCACAAAGUAUUAAGUCAGAACCCCCCAUAUUCUUUAAAGUGGAAUGAUAUCUCUUGUGCCACCUUCUAUUUUAGAAUUCCAGUUUAAAAUGGAGGUUGAUGGGACAUUUUGUUUGUCAUUUAUUUAUUAAAGUUUUAUAAAAAGUAAAAAAAAACUAUUAAGCAAUUGUUCAAAAUGAAAACCAUUUCUUGACAAAACACUAAAUGAUGAUAAGAUUUUGUUUGUGAACUUUUCUGAUCCUCAGAUUUAGUUAUUUAAUAUUUAUUCUAGCAUAGGAUUCGAAUUUCCAGAAAAGUUAUUUCCGUCAGCCUUUUCAAAUUCAAGAGUAUAACGCUUCAAAUUCUGAACAGGUAGUUUCAUAAAUAGCGGGGACAAUGGGGUCAUGGGAGUGCUGUUAAGAAAUUACAAACCGUUGAACAAUAAAAGGUAGAAGGGACGUAUUCUGCGCCGAAAGUGUCGAUGUUAAACUACUUUGCACAGUAUCGCAUUGGAUCUCUUAUUUUUGUUCUUUCUUUCUUUUUUUGGUACAUUUUAUAGCCAAGGCGUAUUUGCUUCUAUACGGGUCUUUAGAUAACAUUUGAUUGGACACCCAAAUUCUAAAGCUUUUCAACUUCUAAGCUAUGUAGAGGACAUAGGUAAGACAAGAGAUCUCAAUUACUUAUUAUGAUUUAUGAAUUUCAUUAAGUAUUUUUAAAAACGUUUCAUAUGAAACGUCUAACACACGCAGCUAAUUGACUGCGUCUAACGCACUUUCCUCUCGUAAGUCGAUAUGCUAUCGACUCCCUUGCAUGAAAAACUAAAGAAUAAUUUUUUGACAUCUUGAUAAAUCAAUUAUUAAAAUGUGAGAAAAACAUUUUUUACGCCAUAUGUUAUGAUCUCCGAGUAUAGUAAAAGUUAAAACAAUCUUUAAAAAAAAAUUCCUAUUCAGAUCCUCGAAUCAAAAUAUAACCGUUGCUUUGCGGGUAUAUCUGGAUACAAAUUUCCACAAAAAUUCGAUUAGUUUUUCCUCUUUUGGAAAAGAAAUGAACAUUUUCAUGACUUGGAUCAGACGUAGUUCGUCAGCCGCGUCUGUCCGCGGCUUCAUAGCAAACGCACUUUUAAAUCUUAAGGCAAAAUAGACAUUUACAUAAAAUUCAUAUUUUAACAAAUAAUGAAAUAUUAUUUUAAAAUAAUUGGUAUUAUUAAUAAUAAAACGAAACAGGGAAUCACUUUGUGAAAAUUGCCAUAAAGAAAUUUUUAAAGUUGCCGCUUUGAAUAUUUUUAACAUUGUUAAUUCUAAUGUAAAACAAAAUACAUAUAUGCCUAGUAAAGCAAAAUUCUUAUUGUUUGGUUAAAAGUCCUCGCAGUGAAAUCACUCUAGUAGUCAUUCCAUGACGACCUCAAAAUUGGUAUGAAGUUUGAUGGUGUCAUCAAAAAAAAUUUGGAUCGAGGUUUAAAAAAGGAGCUGUGAUUUUAAUUUCAUUUAUUCUGCAUGGAUUUUUAAUACCUAGUUAUAGUGUACAUACAUAUAAAUAAGUCGUUUUAUUUCAAGUUUUGUAUUUAUAGGUUUUAAGGAGAUACGUUUAAUUUUAAUAGAACUUUAUUAUCUUUUGGCCAAAAAAAUGUUUUAUCAACUUUAGUGUAGACCAUUAUUAUUUUUAUGAUUGCAUUGUACUAAAAUUAAAUAAAGCCACAUCUCAAAAUUCAAUCACACUAAUUCAGAGGAUGACUAAAUUUAACCAAUCUGACAUCUCAUGCCUUUUUUAAGACCCUAGUGAUGUGUCUUAGAUUUAAGAAACUAGUAUGUACAGAUUCAUUCCUUAUAUUUAGACAGUAUCUGAUGGCAUUAUUAUGCAAGGUAGAACAAAACUUUAAAUAUGAAAGUUAUCGGGCUCAUCCUCCGUCAUUAAAAAAUAUAUAAUAUUAAUAUUUAAAAACAUGAUUACCGUAUUUUCCCGCAUCGCACUUGAAAAACAGACCGGAAUAUAAACUCAUUAAAAUGACAUUGCAGUCUGUUUUUUUGGCUAAUUCAGGGCGGUUACUACUGAUUAAAACGGAUAAUGCAAAUAUUCCGAAAAUGACCCAAUCAAAUUUUAGUUGUUUGUUUUAUUCAAGGUGUUUUUCGUUAAAGAUUUGUCAGGUUUCUGUUGUUUUUCACUUUUGUGGGUUUUUCAUUUUUAUAUUUUCUGGAUAUUUAGGAUGAGCCCUACAAUUUUAUAUCCACAUGGUAUAAUAACACCAGCAUUAAAAAUAAAGAAUGGCCGUGUACAUUAAUAUUCAGUAGAACGAUAGUAACUAAUCAUUUAUAUUGUUACGUUUUUUUGUAAAAAUUUUGUAUAUGUUAACAUAUCCAAUAAAAGGUGAGACUGAA
rnacentral:misc_RNA from 1 species